CAUGCAGUCGAGCGAACUGAUUAGAAGCUUGCUUCUAUGACGUUAGCGGCGGACGGGUGAGUAACACGUGGGCAACCUGCCUGUAAGACUGGGAUAACUUCGGGAAACCGAAGCUAAUACCGGAUAGGAUCUUCUCCUUCAUGGGAGAUGAUUGAAAGAUGGUUUCGGCUAUCACUUACAGAUGGGCCCGCGGUGCAUUAGCUAGUUGGUGAGGUAACGGCUCACCAAGGCAACGAUGCAUAGCCGACCUGAGAGGGUGAUCGGCCACACUGGGACUGAGACACGGCCCAGACUCCUACGGGAGGCAGCAGUAGGGAAUCUUCCGCAAUGGACGAAAGUCUGACGGAGCAACGCCGCGUGAGUGAUGAAGGCUUUCGGGUCGUAAAACUCUGUUGUUAGGGAAGAACAAGUACAAGAGUAACUGCUUGUACCUUGACGGUACCUAACCAGAAAGCCACGGCUAACUACGUGCCAGCAGCCGCGGUAAUACGUAGGUGGCAAGCGUUAUCCGGAAUUAUUGGGCGUAAAGCGCGCGCAGGCGGUUUCUUAAGUCUGAUGUGAAAGCCCACGGCUCAACCGUGGAGGGUCAUUGGAAACUGGGGAACUUGAGUGCAGAAGAGAAAAGCGGAAUUCCACGUGUAGCGGUGAAAUGCGUAGAGAUGUGGAGGAACACCAGUGGCGAAGGCGGCUUUUUUGGUCUGUAACUGACGCUGAGGCGC
rnacentral:rRNA from 2 species